CUUAGCAAACACAAACAGGGCAAACUAUUAUUUAACGUGCUAGUUUAAAUAUAUAUCUAAACUAAACUACACAAGUAUUUCAAACUGGCAAAACUAAAAUUAGGUUUAUAGAAACAACGUGUCCUCAUCCUUUCUCCUAAGGAAUGCUAUUCAUUAUGAUUUUAUCUUUUGAGUUUUAAAAAUAUGCUAUUUAUUAUUCAUAUCUUUUCUCGUGCUAUCUAGAAGCUAACCAAACAACAUAGAGAAAGUACAUUUGUAUCACUAAUCAAUAUUUGAAAUGAUGACGCAGAUUAAAUAAUACAGAAUUCAGAAAGUAGAACUUGCCUGCUAGCUGACUUCAGCUGCUCCCUGAGUUCCUUGAACUUGAGGUUUCUCAUGUUCUCAACAGUGAAAACAAAAACUGAGUUGUAAUUUUCCACACCCUGCCUGAUCGAUUCCACCAUUGAUUUCUUGUGGUCCCUUCCUUUUCUUCUUUGUUUUUGAUAAAGUAACUGCAUUUAUCCCACGAACAAUUAGAUAGAAGACUUAAAACACUAAUCUGCAUAGGACUAAGUUCAUAUUUUUCCUCUUUAAAACACUAAUCUGCAUAGGACUAAGUUCACAUUUUCCCUCUUUCUUUUUAAGUUAAAAACCACAUGAGUUUGACAAUGAUUACUACCACCACAAGUCAUUUAACUUCUUCAACUGCCUCAUACUUUUCACAAGAAACUGCGUCAUACAAAUUAACCCAUAAUAAAGCUAUCCAAAUUCCGAACCCCAUCUGAUUGGUUUCUGAAAUCAGUAACUCUCAUGGAAGGAAAAACUUGGACAGACUGAUGCAGAAAUUGAGAAUGAAAGUUAGAAAAAGAUUCUUGCACUAGAAUCGUUGUUCCCUGCCAUUCUCGAAACAGCCUGAAUAGUCAUGUUAAGAACACCGAGCCCUGCACUAAAGUUGAAAGAGGGGAAAAAACAGCAUGUUGAAACAAAUGAAGGUUAAACCAAAAGGAUUGAACUAUAGUUUCCAAAGUUUUCAUCUCUUAUAUUCACGUAAUAGUAAUAGUAAUAGUAAUUCCUCUUUCAAACAACCACUUUUGUUUCAACAAAGAGGACAAGGCUUAUGAUCCCUAAAUCGUUAGCAGUAUUGCUAUUUGGAGAAAAUGUUAAAGUUAAACAGCUGACAAUACCUUCCAGCCCCUACCACUACUAUCUUUUGGUUAACAAAAUCACUCAAUGGCCGCCCUUGAGCUCUCACAGUUCCCAAUAGUCCAACGAGAGCAACACCAGCAGUUCCCUUUAUGAAAUGAAAUAAACGAAAACGAAUGUCCUUUUAAGUAAUUAUCAACUGCAUUAAUACAUCAUCAACUACUCACUUGUAUGUCAUCGUUGAACAUGCAGAACCUCUUACGAUAACGUUGUAAUGUUUCAAAAGGCCAUUUCAUUUGAAAAUCCUCAAACUGGCAUCAUUCAAAAUCAAAUUACGAGAUUACGAUACUGAUUACUGGCAGUGAACACAGUUAAAAAUUUGAUAUCUUAACCAAUAAACCUGAACAAUAGCUUUAGGCCAACAUGUAUGCACGGCUUCCAUAAAAAUCAUCAACAAUUGAUAGAUACUCUUCUCCUCCAAGUCUAGGUAUUCCUAUUCCUGAACUCCAAGGUCACCGAGGCCAAGAAUACGACUUCCAUCUGUCAAGACAAUCAUGUCAACUGUAGUUGGAAGAAGAAAUACAAUGAACUUCAAAUAUGUGCUGCUGGGAAAUUAAAAGGGAUUUUCAUUUUUAUUUUGCUCAAAAUCAAUGCUCUUGAGCUUUUAAUGUCCCGAGGAAUGUGAAAGUUUCCCAAUAUAUCGUGUAUGGAAGUUUAAACUUUUCAAAGAAAACAAGGGUGAAAAUUAAUCAAACAAAAAUUCGAUUGUUCUGUAGCAGUUUGACUUUGUUGUCAAGGAAAUUAAGAGUGAUAAGAAGGCGAGGGAGUGACUUUGAGUGGUGGCAAUUCGACAGCCAAGCAACUACACUCAAGGUUGAAGGUCGAAUAGGCAGCAGGAAGAAACGAAGAAGAAGAAGAAAAUUUUUCGAUCUAUCAAACGUGAUCAUCAUACAAUAGAAAGUCAUUUAAAUUAUCCAAAUAUCUUUUGAAGUAAUUUUAACAUUUUCAAAAUAACUCUUAAUCAUGCUCUAAAUAUGGAAUGAAUUAUCUAUCCAACUACAAAUACAAAAGUUUUUCUAAAUCACUCUAACUAAUUAUACAAAUUCCACAACACAUAGAUCACAUGCUUCCCAAGAACCCACAAAAUUGUUCAAUGCGGCAUUUUAUCAAACAGUUGGUGGAUGGAGACAACAAAAACAAGUGUUCAAUAAAAUAAUCUUAGAAACAAACACAUCAAUAUUACCUGAAGAUGGAACUCCAAUUGAACAGCUUUGAGAAAGUGAUGGAGAAACACAAACAGAACAUAAAGAUUAUGGGACUCCUCAACUCCAAUAAAUCCUGCAAUGGAAAAAUGGGUUAGAAGGUGGAAAAGCAUAGUAGAGGAUUAUGAUAAUGAAAAUGGGUAGUAAUGUUUUUCAGUAGCUAUCUUUUUCUUCUCUUUUUUUCAUGUUGUUUGAUGGUUGUUCUUGAUUGUCUUUAUCUUUUUUUUUUCCUUUUUUGCAUUUGGGAAAAAACAGUUUGUUGACUAAGAGGUGAUGAUGCUGGUGAGGGAAUUUAUUAAAGUAAUGAAUACUUUUUGGAGGACUUAAACAAGUAAAAGGACGAAAUGAAGCAAGCUCAAGCAACAAAUUUUCUGUUAAGUAAGCAUAAAUAUUAACUAGAGGCUUAAAUAAAAUAUUUCACCACCACCACCACCACCACCAGAACAACAACAACAACAAAAAGCCCAGAUAUAUCAUCAUUGACAACAGAAACAGAGCAAUAUAAGCAAAAUACAUUACAAAGAAAAAUAUGGAGAUAAAAGACAUGAAGGUUUCCCUUUCACUUACAAAGAGGAUCGUUAAGUAACUUCUCGUUGUUAGAACCAAUAUCUAGCAUUACUGGAAGAAUCUGUCAAUUAAACAAGAGUAAACUUAAUGAAAAAGUGUGGUUAAGAAAAGUUGCUAAAAAAUGUCACCAUUAAAUGAUAUUAGUAUUCUUAGAUAAUCUACAAAAUUUCAUGAAGAAAAGACUGCAGACUUGAGAGUUACCCCCACUAUCAGGAAUACUUGCUGAAACGGGAAAAAGAUAUCGGCAAGUUCUAAAUACGGCACACUAAAACUCUCUCUCCUGGUUCUUGCUUAAAAUCACAUGUACAUGUCAAUGCUGAUAGUGCCUCUUUCACUGAAACAAACCAAAUUUCAGUACCAAUUAAGAUGCAAAAAAAUAAGGUAUUUAAGAUGCAGAAAAUAAGGUAGUUAAGAUGCAGAAAAUAAGGAAACACCCCACAUCACUACAGUGCAUAACAAAUCUAUCACAUAAGCACAAAGAUAAAUACUGAGAGUAUUAGUUGAAACUUAGCAAACACAAACAGGGCAAACUAUUAUUUAACGUGCUAGUUUAAAUAUAUAUCUAAACUAAACUACACAAGUAUUUCAAACUGCAAAACUAAAAUUAGGUUUGUAGAAACAACGUGUCCUCAUCCUUUCUCCUAAGGAAUGCUAUUUCAUUAUGAUUUUAUCUUUUGAGUUUUAAAAAUAUGCUAUUUAUUAUUCAUAUCUUUUCUCGUGCUAUCUAGAAGCUAACCAAACAACAUAGAGAAAGUACAUUUGUAUCACUAAUCAAUAUUUGAAAUGAUGACGCAGAUUAAAU
rnacentral:lncRNA from 1 species